GACUCAGUGGCCAUGAACAGGAGAUAUGAGGAUGGGCUGUGGGAAGAUAAAGAUCCUGUCCCAGCUGGGUUAAAGGUUAAAGGUGGGGAGAAGCACACAGCCCUGGGCACACCCUGCAUUACACCCCAGGACAAAGGGUUUGCCCCAGGUCCUGGCGUGGCCACAAACCCCUGAGCUGUGCUGGUGCUGCCUGGAGCACUGGGAUGGAGGAGGUGUCUGCAGCAGACCUGGUGUCCAUCUGAGGGAAAGAACCCCCCUCUCCCCUCACUCCUGGAGCACUGAGGAAUUUCUCUGGGCUCAGGAGCCGUGCCAAGCUUGGGGAACAGGGCUGAGAGGGUUUGGAGAGGGACUGGGGACCAGGAUGGAGGGACAGGAGCCAGGGAAUGGCUCCCACUGCCAGAGGGCAGGGCUGGCUGGGAUCCUGGGCAGCAAUUGUUCCCUGGCAGGGUGGGCAGGGCUGGCACAGGGUGCCCAGAGCAGCUGUGGCUGCCCCUGGAUCCCUGGCAGUGCCCAGGGCCAGGCUGGACACUGGGGCUGGAGCAAUGGGGGCUGGAGCAGUGGGACAGUGGGAGGUGUCCCUGCCGUGUCACUGGAUGUUUUUUAAGGUCCCUUCCCACCUAAACCAGUCUGGGAUUUGACUGGGGAUGGGGUCCCUUGGUCCCCAGGGGCUCUCCUGCUCCCACUGCCACCGUGGGCUGGAACAGCAGAGAGCCUGGAUGGAUCACUCCUGCUCUGUAGCAUCAGAGGUGUUUCCAGAGGAUGGAUUCAGUCACACAGAGGUUUCCAGAGGGAUGGAUUCAGUCACAGAGGUUUCCAGAGGGAUGGAUUCAGUCACACAGAGGUUUCCAGAGGGAUGGAUUCAGUCACAGAGAGGUGUUUCCAGAGGAUGGAUUCAGUCACACGGAGGUUUCCAGAGGGAUGGAUUCAGUCACACAGAGGUUUCCAGAGGAUGGAUUUAUUCCUGCACACAGAGGUGUUUCCAGCCUGGCAGAGCUGUCAGGGCCCUGUGGUUUCUGCAGCCUGGGGAGCAGCCAGGAGGCAGCUCAGCCUCUGCUCCAUUCAUGCCUUCCCUGAAUCACAUUCCUGUGCCCUUAGUCACCCUUUGGUUGGCUCAGCUACAAACAGGCUGCAGUUUGUUCCCUUUCCUGCCUCCCCAGCCCUGCCUUUGCUGGGAGUCCCAGCUCUGCAGCUCCAGGCACGGGCUCUGCCUGCCUGGGCAGGGAAAUGCCCUCAGGAGGGGCUUCCAAGCCCUCGGCAGGGUGGGCUCCAUUUCCAGCAGGUGCCCGUCAGGGGCUCCUGGGAAUGGUUCCAUUCCCCCUCUGCAGGUUUCUGGUUUGUAUUUCUUGUUUCGAGGCGUUGUUUGUGCAGCGGGGAUGGGAAGUGGGGAGGUGUGAGAGCAUUCCCACCAGGAUGUGCAGCUCCUGGGGGUUUGUUGGGGCUGCCUCUAAGGUUUGGUGAUGGGCCACGGGCUCAGAGGCUGCAGGAGCCCCGAGGGCUCGGCUGGGGACAGGGAUGGAGGGACAGGACACAGGGAUGGAGGGACAGGACACGGGGAUGGAGGGACAGGACGGGGGGGGGGGGGGGGGGGGGGGGGGGGGGGGGGGGGGGGGGGGGGGGGGGGGGGGGGGGGGGGGGGGG
ensembl:lncRNA